rnacentral:rRNA from 1 species
AGAGUUUGAUCAUGGCUCAGAUUGAACGCUGGCGGCAGGCCUAACACAUGCAAGUCGAACGGUAACAGGAAACAGCUUGCUGUUUCGCUGACGAGUGGCGGACGGGUGAGUAAUGUCUGGGAAACUGCCUGAUGGAGGGGGAUAACUACUGGAAACGGUAGCUAAUACCGCAUAACGUCGCAAGACCAAAGAGGGGGACCUUCGGGCCUCUUGCCAUCAGAUGUGCCCAGAUGGGAUUAGCUAGUAGGUGGGGUAACGGCUCACCUAGGCGACGAUCCCUAGCUGGUCUGAGAGGAUGACCAGCCACACUGGAACUGAGACACGGUCCAGACUCCUACGGGAGGCAGCAGUGGGGAAUAUUGCACAAUGGGCGCAAGCCUGAUGCAGCCAUGCCGCGUGUAUGAAGAAGGCCUUCGGGUUGUAAAGUACUUUCAGCGGGGAGGAAGGGAGUAAAGUUAAUACCUUUGCUCAUUGACGUUACCCGCAGAAGAAGCACCGGCUAACUCCGUGCCAGCAGCCGCGGUAAUACGGAGGGUGCAAGCGUUAAUCGGAAUUACUGGGCGUAAAGCGCACGCAGGCGGUUUGUUAAGUCAGAUGUGAAAUCCCCGGGCUCAACCUGGGAACUGCAUCUGAUACUGGCAAGCUUGAGUCUCGUAGAGGGGGGUAGAAUUCCAGGUGUAGCGGUGAAAUGCGUAGAGAUCUGGAGGAAUACCGGUGGCGAAGGCGGCCCCCUGGACGAAGACUGACGCUCAGGUGCGAAAGCGUGGGGAGCAAACAGGAUUAGAUACCCUGGUAGUCCACGCCGUAAACGAUGUCGACUUGGAGGUUGUGCCCUUGAGGCGUGGCUUCCGGAGCUAACGCGUUAAGUCGACCGCCUGGGGAGUACGGCCGCAAGGUUAAAACUCAAAUGAAUUGACGGGGGCCCGCACAAGCGGUGGAACAUGUGGUUUAAUUCGAUGCAACGCGAAGAACCUUACCUGGUCUUGACAUCCACGGAAGUUUUCAGAGAUGAGAAUGUGCCUUCGGGAACCGUGAGACAGGUGCUGCAUGGCUGUCGUCAGCUCGUGUUGUGAAAUGUUGGGUUAAGUCCCGCAACGAGCGCAACCCUUAUCCUUUGUUGCCAGCGGUCCGGCCGGGAACUCAAAGGAGACUGCCAGUGAUAAACUGGAGGAAGGUGGGGAUGACGUCAAGUCAUCAUGGCCCUUACGACCAGGGCUACACACGUGCUACAAUGGCGCAUACAAAGAGAAGCGACCUCGCGAGAGCAAGCGGACCUCAUAAAGUGCGUCGUAGUCCGGAUUGGAGUCUGCAACUCGACUCCAUGAAGUCGGAAUCGCUAGUAAUCGUGGAUCAGAAUGCCACGGUGAAUACGUUCCCGGGCCUUGUACACACCGCCCGUCACACCAUGGGAGUGGGUUGCAAAAGAAGUAGGUAGCUUAACCUUCGGGAGGGCGCUUACCACUUUGUGAUUCAUGACUGGGGUGAAGUCGUAACAAGGUAACCGUAGGGGAACCUGCGGUUG